rnacentral:rRNA from 1 species
UGCGUCUGAUUAGCUGUUUGGAGGGGUAACGGCCCACCAAGGCGACGAUCAGUAGCCGGUCUGAGAGGAUGAACGGCCACACUGGAACUGAGACACGGUCCAGACUCCUACGGGAGGCAGCAGUGGGGAAUCUUCCGCAAUGGGCGAAAGCCUGACGGAGCAACGCCGCGUGAGUGAUGACGGCCUUCGGGUUGUAAAACUCUGUGAUCCGGGACGAAAAGGCAGAGUGCGAAGAACAAACUGCAUUGACGGUACCGGAAAAGCAAGCCACGGCUAACUACGUGCCAGCAGCCGCGGUAAUACGUAGGUGGCAAGCGUUGUCCGGAAUUAUUGGGCGUAAAGCGCGCGCAGGCGGCUUCCCAAGUCCCUCUUAAAAGUGCGGGGCUUAACCCCGUGAUGGGAAGGAAACUGGGAAUCUGGAGUAUAGGAGAGGAAAGUGGAGUUCCUAGUGUAGCGGU